rnacentral:rRNA from 1 species
CACACGACUCUCGGCAACGGAUAUCUCGGCUCUCGCAUCGAUGAAGAACGUAGCGAAAUGCGAUACCUGGUGUGAAUUGCAGAAUCCCGCGAACCAUUGAGUCUUUGAACGCAAGUUGCGCCCGAGGCCAUUCGGCCGAGGGCACGCCUGCCUGGGCGUCACGC